UGUGUAGGCGGUGCUCCAAGUCUGGUGUGAAAUCUCCCGGCUCAACUGGGAGGGUGCGCCGGAAACUGGAAUGCUAGAGUGUGGGAGAGGUAAGCGGAAUUCCUGGUGUAGCGGUGAAAUGCGUAGAUAUCAGGAGGAACACCUGUGGUGUAGACAGCUUACUGGACCACGACUGACGCUGAGACACGAAAGCGUGGUAGCAAACA
rnacentral:rRNA from 1 species